rfam:Candidatus Magnetoglobus multicellularis str. Araruama Cont90, whole genome shotgun sequence.
UUGAGCCGUGUGACGGGGAAACUUUCACGCACGGUUCUUAGGGGGCUCGGGACUGGAGACAGUCCCUGGCUACCCGAU